UCCUUUAUGCUUAACACAUGCAAGUCGAACGAGGGUCCAUCCGGGUCGUAAGACUGGUGAAGACCUAGUGGCGAACGGGUGCGUAACACGUGAGAAACCUACCCCAGUCUCUGGGAUAACAGUUGGAAACGACUGCUAAUACCGGAUGCCAUCUUCUGAUCGCAUGAUCGUUUGAUGAAAGAAUUUCGGAUUGGGAGGGUCUCGCGGCCUAUCAGCUUGUUGGUGAGGUAACGGCUCACCAAGGCAUCGACGGGUAGCUGGUCUGAGAGGAUGAUCAGCCACACUGGGACUGAGACACGGCCCAGACUCCUACGGGAGGCAGCAGUGGGGAAUCUUGCACAAUGGGCGAAAGCCUGAUGCAGCAACGCCGCGUGCGGGAUGAAGGCCUUAGGGUUGUAAACCGCUUUCAGCAGGGAAGAAAUUGACGGUACCUGCAGAAGAAGGUGCGGCCAACUACGUGCCAGCAGCCGCGGUAACACGUAGGCACCAAGCGUUGUCCGGAUUUAUUGGGCGUAAAGAGCUCGUAGGCGGUUCAGUAAGUCGGGUGUGAAAACUCUGGGCUCAACCCAGAGACGCCACCCGAUACUGCUGUGACUAGAGUACGGUAGGGGAGCGGGGAAUUCCUGGUGUAGCGGU
rnacentral:rRNA from 1 species